UACGUAGGGGGCAAGCGUUGUCCGGAAUCAUUGGGCGUAAAGCGCGUGUAGGCGGCUCGGUAAGUCCGCUCUGAAAGUCCGGGGCUCAACCCCGGGAGGCGGGUGGAUACUGGUCAGCUCGAGUCCGGAAGAGGAGUGUGGAAUUCCUGGUGUAGCGGUGAAAUGCGCAGAUAUCAGGAGGAACACCAAUGGCGAAGGCAGCACUCUGGGACGGUACUGACGCUGAGACGCGAAAGCGUGGGGAGCAAACAGG
rnacentral:rRNA from 1 species